GACUCCAUCCUCCCCUACCAAUUUAAGUCCUGUUAGACAAACUGGUAAAGUCACUACCCUUUCAAGGUAGGGUUUGCGGGUUCGAUCC
rnacentral:tRNA from 1 species